GGACCAUGCUUACAUAGUUUGAGUUGCGAAUGUAUUAUAAGCCUGCGUAGUUAAGGCAAAGAUAGGGAGAAACACACAUUUACAAGCAGGUUGAUCAAGUAUUGUAAAACGAGUUAUGGCAAAUGAUAACCUUGCUGAGACUAUAAUGAGGAGCAAGACAUUUCAACAGUUAAGAAUUUUUACGCAGAAGGAGAGGAGAUGCUUAAGGAGGGUCG